CGCACCUUGCGCCCUUUGGUAUUCCGAAGGGCACGCCUGUUUGAGUGUCAUGUUCAUCUCAAUCCAUCAGCUUUUUGGCUGACUUGGAUUGGAUUUGGGAGUCUGCUGGCCCUCAUUGGGUCGGCUCUCCUUGAAUACAUGAGUGAGCAAUUGGCUUGCGUUGCUGGUGUGAUAGUUUUCAUCAUUGGCGGCGCUUGCUUCACGGGCUUGCUUUCGAACCGUCUUCUCAACGGAGACAAUUUUGACAUAUUUGACCUCAAAUCAGGUGGGACUACCCGCUGAACUUAA
rnacentral:misc_RNA from 1 species